AGCAGCCGCGGUAAUUCCAGCUCCAAUAGCGUAUAUUAAAGUUGUUGCAGUUAAAAAGCUCGUAGUUGAAUUUCGGGAUCAAAUUGUCGGUCGUGCCUCGGUACGUACUGGCGUUAUUGGUUCCUCCCUUCUGAAGAACCACGAUGUCAUUAAUUUGGUGUCGCGGGGAAUCAGGACUGUUACUUUGAAAAAAUUAGAGUGUUUAAAGCAGGCUCGCGCUUGAAUACAUUAGCAUGGAAUAAUGAAAUAGGACGUUUGAUUCUAUUUUGUUGGUUUCUAGGAUCGACGUAAUGAUUAAUAGGGAUAGUUGGGGGCAUUAGUAUUCAAUUGUCAGAGGUGAAAUUCUUGGAUUUAUUGAAGACUAACUACUGCGAAAGCAUUUGCCAAGGAUGUUUUCAUUAAUCAAGAACGGAAGUUAGGGGAUCGAAGACGAUCAGAUACCGUCGUAGUCUUAACCAUAAACUAUGCCGACUAGGGAUCGGAUGAUGUAAUUUUUAAUGACUCAUUCGGCGCCUUACGG
rnacentral:rRNA from 1 species